UACGUAGGGUGCGAGCGUUAAUCGGAAUUACUGGGCGUAAAGCGUGCGUAGGUGGUUCGUUGUGUCUGUGGUGAAAGCCCCGGGCUUAACCUGGGAAUGGCCAUGGAAACUGGCGAGCUGGAGUCUGGCAGAGGGGGUGGAAUUCCGCGUGUAGCAGUGAAAUGCGUAGAGAUGCGGAGGAACACCGAUGGCGAAGGCAGCCCCCUGGGCGUAAGCACUGACGCUGAGGCACGGAAAGCGUG
rnacentral:rRNA from 1 species